GACGAACGCUGGCGGCGUGCUUAACACAUGCAAGUCGAACGAUGAAGCAAAGAAUCGAAGCUUCGGCAGAAAUUCAUUUCGGAUUAGUGGCAGACGGGUGAGUAACGCGUGAGCAACCUACCUCUUACAAAGGGAUAGCCUCGGGAAACCGGGAUUAAUACCAUAUAACAUUGCGACGAAGCAUUUCGAUGCAAUCAAAGCUACGGCGGUAAGAGAUGGGCUCGCGUCCCAUUAACCGGAUGGUGAGGUAACGGCUCACCAUAGUGACGCUGGGUAACCGGGAUGAGAGGGUGAACGGUGACACUGGAACUGAGACACGGUCCAGACUCCUACGGGAGGCAGCAGUGGGGAAUAUUGCACAAUGGAGGGAACUCUGAUGCAGCGACGCCGCGUGAGUGAUGAAGGAAUUCGUUUCGUAAAACUCUGUUCUAUGGGAAGAAAAGGACUGUACCAUAGGAGAAAGCUCCGGCUAAAUACGUG
rnacentral:rRNA from 1 species